UUGUCAAUCCCGUUGCAGUGAGCAGUCAUUUUAGCAAAUAUAUCACUUAGUAAAUUGAAGAUGAUGAAAGCCAAUACAAUAGCUUCAGCGUGCUCUGAAAUAACUAUGCCUAGUAACUGCUCUCCACCUGUAGCUUUCCAUGUUGAAGGGCAGAUUGUGGUUGCAGGCCAUAACCAUAGAUUACAAGUUCCUAUUUCUGAACAAUAAGUGAUACCAACUCAUCUACCAUCCAAUAAAUNUACCAUCCAAUAAAUACAAUGUACUUUGCCAAUCUGUGUGUUGAGAUUAACAAGUGACGCC
rnacentral:misc_RNA from 1 species